UCCCUGGUGGCUCAGAUGGUAAAGAGUCUGCCUGCAAUGCAGGAGACCCAGGUUCGAUCCCUGGGUCGGGAA
rnacentral:tRNA from 1 species